GCGCUUCUGGGAGUCUUGAGAUUCGACGACCGGUGAAAUGGCGGAGACUGCGGCCCUGGUGUGGCUUCGGGGCCCCAGCUUCGGGUGCAAGGCGGUGUGGUGUGCCUCGGCCCCGCUCUCCGUACGCGAUUUUAUCCACCGACACUGCCAAGAUCAGGAUGUUCCAGUGGAAUGCUACUUUGUGAAAUGCAAUGGAUCACUUGUUAACACCAGUGACACAGUGCAGCAUGGAGCUGUUUAUAGUUUGGAACCCAGACUUCGUGGUGGAAAAGGAGGUUUUGGCUCUAUGCUCCGAGCACUUGGUGCUCAGAUUGAGAAGACAACCAAUCGAGAAGCUUGCCGGGAUCUCAGUGGGAGGAGACUGCGAGAUGUCAAUCACGAGAAAGCAAUGGCUGAAUGGGUAAAACAACAAGCCGAGCGAGAAGCUGAAAAGGAGCAAAAGCGCCUGGAACGACUGCAGCGGAAGCUUGCAGAACCCAGGCCCUGCUUCACCAGCCCCGACUACCAGCAGCAGUGCCAUGAGAUGGCCGAGCGUCUGGAGGAUUCCGUCCUCCGAGGUAUGCAGGCUGCCUCCAGCAAGACGGUAUCAGCAGAAAUCUGUGAGAGUCGGAAACGGCCUAACAAAUCAAAAACAGACAGAGCAGCCAGUGCAGAGAAAAGGAAAUGCUUUUGGUUGGGCAUGGAAGGACUAGAGACUGCAGAAGGGUCUGGCUCUGAGAGCUCUGAUGAUGACAGUGCAGAAGCACCUAGUACUUCAGGAAUGAGCUUUCACGUUCCCAAAAAUGGCAGUGAUGGUGUUGAGAUGGCAGCCGAAUUUCCUAGUAGCUCUCAGCAGGCAAGAGUAUUGAGUGCAGACUCUAGAUCACGAGAAAAACUACAGACCCCUGUGACGGACUCUGGGAAUGGUAUUUCAGAAGAUUUGUAUGCUGAGCUGGGAGAGGCAUCUACCCAGGAGUACAUGGAAAGGAAGAUGGCUAUAGAAACAGAGAAAACCCAGGAGAAAAAUGAGGCAGAGAGUAAAGAACUCUUAGAAAAGGAAGCAGCUGGAGUUGGACUGAAUAAGGAGCAGGAGACCAAAGAAAUGACUGAUGGGGAAAGAGCUGCCAAGGGAGCACCUGGAGAAGAUAGGGAAAACAUACUUGUUGCCAAGCUGGAGGACAGCCAGUCAGGAAACACAGAUAUUGGUCAGGAAACCGUAGAUUUACUGGCGUUCAGCUCUGUUGCAGAAGUGGAGUUGCUGGGUUUGGAGAAGCUCAAGUGUGAACUCACGGCCCGGGGACUGAAGUGCGGGGGCACUCUCCAGGAGCGGGCGGCGAGGCUUUUCUCUGUCAGAGGACUGGCAAAGGAGCAGAUAGAUCCAGCUUUAUUUGCCAAGCCUUCGAAAGGGAAAAAGAAGUGAAUUUCAUCGGAGCUGAUUUCCUGUUUCUUAAUAGGCUAGCGCUUACAACCUGUAUAAUGCAGACUCUUGGACAUUAUUCUUGUUGCUAUUAAAGGUCACUUUAGUGGGAACUGUGUGCACUGACGCUCCAGUUCGUACUCCUGCCCCUCACGGCCCUCACACCAGCUGGCAGAAGAGGCCUCUGACCAGAGCCGGCCUCCUGUCCCGAAACGCAGAGACACAAGAAAAUGUACCGUCUUCUCUUCCUUCUCUCUCAUCUCUGCAGAAAGGUUGUUGGAAGACAGGAAACGAACGCUUACAAAUAGGAAAUGCCCAGCCCCAGGGCACACAGCUUUGAGAAUGCGGAGCU